CGCGCUGCUGGGCCGCAUCGGCAGGCCCGUCGAGAUCGCCGACGCGGUGGCGUUCCUGGCGUCGGAGCACGC
rnacentral:tRNA from 1 species